CAACAACUACAACCGCACGCUAUCAAGUUCAAAGCACUGCUGCUUGAUUCGGCGAGUCUGAGAUAUUAA
rfam:Lactobacillus oris PB013-T2-3 contig00029, whole genome shotgun sequence.